CGAGGUGGGAGGGACCCUGGCCCCAGGCGCCCCCACGCCCCACUGUUCCCUGCCCUGCCUGGAACCCCCAUUUCCUCCUCGACCCCUGCCCCCGCCCGCUCUGCCUUGGGCAGGUCAUGUGUUGUGGGGACACCCGCCAGCGGGCGGAGGCCAGGAGGGUUCUCCCAGCUCCUGAGAGUCAGGAGGCUCGAGUCCCCUGGACUCCUAAGGGGGAAGUAACACAGUGCUGUGUUCCAGAGCCAGGGAAACAGACACCCUAGAAGAAGAAGCCUCCCAGCCAGCCUCAGCUGGCCCUGGGUGGUCAAGGAAGGCUUCCUGGAAGAAGCAGUGAAUGCACAUUGUCAGACGAGGAGGCCGGGUCCACACAGGCCUGCCGGAGCCGAGCAGAUGGAGCGCAGGACCCAGCGGCAGGGACGGGGCCCUCCUGACUCCCAGGUCUGGGGGUUGGUGACCAGCACGGGACGGGGCCGCCAGCACCCUCCAACCCUCCACCGUCUGAUGGCAGAACACAGUCCUGGCACGGGCCCCCUGGAGGCCCCCGAGCCAGCCCCCUGUUCCGCUCAGGACGCCUCCUCAGCACUGGGUCUCAGCAGGGACACUUUGGCCCCCAGGGACAUUGGCCACGUCUGCAGAUGCAUACGACCGACUCCAAACAGGGCUACCUGCAGUGGGGGCCACAGGCCAGGCAUGCCACUGCCUGUCCUGCAACUCCCAGCACACCGCCCGCCACCGAGACUUCCCUGCCAACACGUGAGCAGUGCCCAGGUGGGGAAACCCUGGUGGGCAGGAUUCUAGAAACUCACUCAUCCCAACACUUCUUGAAUACUUCCAGGGACAGGGAUCUCACUACCUGGCUAUAAGGUAGUGCAAUGUAGUGCUGGGUCCAAAGCCUGGGUGUCCAUCUUGCUGGAAAAUGGGGGAGCCUGGGCAAGGACUUGUCCUGACCUCGGUAUCUUCAGGUGGAAAAGGCAGCUCGUACUCUGAGGCUCCCAGACUGUCACAGAGCUGUGCCCACUGA
rnacentral:lncRNA from 1 species